UUUUUUUUUAAUUCUAGGCAAUUGGAUGGAGCAGUGGUGUCAGCUGGUGCAUGGGGUCUUUCUACUCACCUGGCCCCUUGUAGCCCCAGCCCUUGAGUGCAGGGGCAGGCACAGGAGCCCAGUUUCUAACAGUGGGGGCACUUCCUUGGGGAGGGGAAUCCCUGUCCCAGUUGCUGAGACAACUGCCACUAAAGACCCUGGGCUGGGAGUGAGCUGAGCUGUCUGGUGGUAGAUUUUGAGGCAGGACAGGCUGGGAACUCACGUGGAUGAUACAGACAACAGACAAUGGACUGGAUUGUUAUUGCUCCUGCACCUCCUCUGCCAAGAACAUCCAGAACCACUACCCCAGUCAAACCUCUGCUCACCAUUCCAAGAAAGUGGGGUGUAAGCGUGAGUGAGGGAGUGGGAGGACAGUUGUCUCUAAGCUCCUGGGACCCAGCCCACAGCUGCUGAGGAAACCAUACGGCUGACUGUGCACAUGUAGGAGUGACUGUGGCUCUUUGUAAGUGCCUAUCUGCCUGUGGGUCCUUGCUUCUGUGUGUGCACCUCUGUCCCCGCCUCCCAGCCUCAGCUAAGGAGGGGAAGCUGAGUGCCUGGCCUGGCCCAUCUCUAGCUCCCUACUCAACUGCUCAGCUUGAAUGCACCUGCCUCUGCUCCAGCUAGAAUGUGGCUCUUCCACGCUCUGCUCUGCAUGACCAGUAAGUCAGUCUCAUCCCAUGCCUCAUCUCCAGCUUGAUGUCUACAGCAUGUAGCCUUUUGUUUGGGGGCUCAGGGCCAGUGUUAGAGAAAGCAGGAGUUUCCCCAGGGAUGCGCUCUCACUUGAUGGGUCAAAUCUCCGGGCUUGUUGAGAAGGACCUAUGGUGCUUUGCUUCGACCAUGUUGAUAGCUUGUGGCUCUGGAUUCCAGCGUUCUGUCACCCAGUUCCAUCUCCAGCCAGUCUCCUCUUUCCAGGGCACCCACUCAGGGCAGGUCCUUAGGUCUUUGCCAGAUUAGUUGAUCAAAGGGCAGAAGCCCAGCUCCACCCAGCCAAGCACCCUAAUGUUACAGAACAAAGCUUUUGCUGUUGAAGGUGAAGACCCUAUGGGAAUAUAAGCACCAAGAGACUGGGGUGAGUGUGUUAGGAAGCAAGAGACUGCUUCCUGUUCUUGUGGCGUGUGGGUGGCGGUAGGGAGGCACUUCUGCUACUUGGGGGUCCCAUUCUGGUCUUUAAAUUCCUCACAGUCUGGUUGUGCUUGUGUGCACCCAUAGUCCUAGCUCACUGGCUAGCCUGGCCUUUUUUAGGGAGAAUGUAGAUUCCUAGGGGCCUUUAUACUGCUCUUAGGAUUACUUGAGCCCAGGAGUUCAAAGCCAGCCAGACCAUGUCUCUAAAAACAAUAAAACCUCUCAAGAAAGAUACUUUAGGCAAGCCAAGUCCCGAGUCUGCCCACGAGUCCCUGGGGAUAGGACAGCAUGGUCAGGGAGCCCUUGGAGGCUGUUUAGGUAAGAAAAGUGAUCCUCACUAGUGGUCCAGCAGACCUGGGAUCUUCACCUGGUCGAAAGCUUGGCAGAAAAAUUAGGUGGACCUCAGGCAUGGUAGUGCAAAGGCUCCUAGGAGCCUGCAUUCUCCCUGGAACAGGCCAGGCCAGCCAGUGAAUGUCAGUGUCUGAAAGCUAAGUUGAGCUUAGAGGAUUAACAUCCUCCAUGGGCCAGAUCACCCAAGAAACAGACCAGAGCAUGCUCUGCUUUGCUGUAGCACCAGCAAACAUACAUUUGGAACAAAUUUUUUUUUUAAAUAUUUUUUUAGUUGUUGGUGUACCUUUAUUUUGUUUAUGUGUGGUGCUGAGAUUCAAACCCAGUAUCUCACACAUGUUAGACGAGUGCUGUACCAUUGAGCUAUAGCCCCAGCCUCAUUUUGGAACAAAUUUUGAUAUUUGAUAUUUCAAAGCAUCAGAGUAGUCAUUAUGGAAAGAUCAAACCUUUGUUGAACUUCCUUUUUCUUUUUAAUAUUAUUUUAGUUGUAG
rnacentral:lncRNA from 1 species